rnacentral:rRNA from 1 species
UGGCUGUCGUCAGCUCGUGUUGUGAAAUGUUGGGUUAAGUCCCGCAACGAGCGCAACCCUUAUUGUCAGUUGCCAGCAUUAAGUUGGGCACUCUAGCAAGACUGCCGGUGACAAACCGGAGGAAGGUGGGGAUGACGUCAAGUCAUCAUGGCCCUUACGGCCUGGGCUACACACGUGCUACAAUGGUCGGUACAGAGGGUUGCCAAGCCGCGAGGUGGAGCUAAUCCCAUAAAACCGAUCGUAGUCCGGAUCGCAGUCUGCAACUCGACUGCGUGAAGUCGGAAUCGCUAGUAAUCGUGGAUCAGAAUGCCACGGUGAAUACGUUCCCGGGCCUUGUACACACCGCCCGUCACACCAUGGGAGUGGGUUGCACCAG